GACGAACGCUGGCGGCGUGCCUAAUACAUGCAAGUUGAGCGCUGAAGGUUGGUACUUGUACCAACUGGAUGAGCAGCGAACGGGUGAGUAACGCGUGGGGAAUCUGCCUUUGAGCGGGGGACAACAUUUGGAAACGAAUGCUAAUACCGCAUAAAAACUUUAAACACAAGUUUUAAGUUUGAAAGAUGCAAUUGCAUCACUCAAAGAUGAUCCCGCGUUGUAUUAGCUAGUUGGUGAGGUAAAGGCUCACCAAGGCGAUGAUACAUAGCCGACCUGAGAGGGUGAUCGGCCACAUUGGGACUGAGACACGGCCCAAAAUCCUACGGGAGGCAGCAGUAGGGAAUCUUCGGCAAUGGACGAAAGUCUGACCGAGCAACGCCGCGUGAGUGCAGAAGGUUUUCGGAUCGUAAAACUCUGUUGGUAGAGAAGAACGUUGGUGAGAGUGGAAAGCUCAUCAAGUGACGGUAACUACCCAGAAAGGGACGGCUAACUACGUG
rnacentral:rRNA from 1 species